UUAGGGACGGACUGGGCGGCAGAGACAUAUUAUGGAGAACCGGCGAAGAAGCUAGGAUUGAAGUACGUUGGUUACAAGAUUGCGCCGAAAGA
rnacentral:sRNA from 1 species